rnacentral:rRNA from 1 species
CCUACGGGUGGCAGCAGUGGGGAAUAUUGGACAAUGGGGGAAACUCUGAUCCAGCGACGCCGCGUGAGUGAAGAAGUCUUUCGGUACGUAAAGCUCUAUCAGCAGGAACGAAAAUGACGGUACCUGACUAAGAAGCCGCGGCUAACUACGUGCCAGCAGCCGCGGUAAUAUGUCGGGGGCAAGCGUUAUCCGGAUUUACUGGGUGUACAGGGAGCGUAGACGGCAGCGCAAGUCUGGAGUGAAAUGCGGGGGCCCAACCCCGGAACUGCUCUGGAAACUGUGAAGCUGGAGUGCAGGAGAGGUAAGCGGAAUUCCUGGUGUAGCGGUGAACUGCGUAGAUAUCAGGAGGAACACCGGCGGCGAAGGCGGCUUACUGGACUGUAACUGACGCUGAGGCUCGAAGGCGUGGGGAGCAAACAGGAUUAGAUACCCCAGUAGUC